rnacentral:rRNA from 1 species
UUUUGUAUGUACCAUAUGAAUAAGGAUCGGCUAACUCCGUGCCAGCAGCCGCGGUAAUACGGAGGAUCCGAGCGUUAUCCGGAUUUAUUGGGUUUAAAGGGAGCGUAGGUGGAUUGUUAAGUCAGUUGUGAAAGUUUGCGGCUCAACCGUAAAAUUGCAGUUGAAACUGGCAGUCUUGAGUACAGUAGAGGUGGGCGGAAUUCGUGGUGUAGCGGUGAAAUGCUUAGAUAUCACGAAGAACUCCGAUUGCGAAGGCAGCUCACUAGACUGUCACUGACACUGAUGCUCGAAAGUGUGGGUAUCAAACAGGAUUAGAUACCCUGGUAGUCCACACAGUAAACGAUGAAUACUCGCUGUUUGCGAUAUACAGUAAGCGGCCAAGCGAAAGCAUUAAGUAUUCCACCUGGGGAGUACGCCGGCAACGGUGAAACUCAAAGGAAUUGACGGGGGCCCGCACAAGCGGAGGAACAUGUGGUUUAAUUCGAUGAUACGCGAGGAACCUUACCCGGGCUUAAAUUGCAACAGAAUAUAUUGGAAACAGUAUAGCCGUAAGGCUGUUGUGAAGGUGCUGCAUGGUUGUCGUCAGCUCGUGCCGUGAGGUGUCGGCUUAAGUGCCAUAACGAGCGCAACCCUUAUCUUUAGUUACUAACAGGUCAUGCUGAGGACUCUAGAGAGACUGCCGUCGUAAGAUGUGAGGAAGGUGGGGAUGACGUCAAAUCAGCACGGCCCUUACGUCCGGGGCUACACACGUGUUACAAUGGGGGGUACAGAAGGCGGCUACCUGGUGACAGGAUGCUAAUCCCAAAAACCUCUCUCAGUUCGGAUCGAAGUCUGCAACCCGACUUCGUGAAGCUGGAUUCGCUAGUAAUCGCGCAUCAGCCAUGGCGCGGUGAAUACGUUCCCGGGCCUUGUACACACCGCCCGUCAAGCCAUGAAAGCCGGGGGUACCUGAAGUACGUAACCGCAAGGAGCGUCCUAGGGUAAAACUGGUAAUUGGGGCUAAGUCGUAACAAGGUAGCCGUACCGGAAGGUGCGGCUG